GGGGAUGUAGUGACAACGGUUCAACACAUCAGGCUUCCAACCUGACAAUCCGGGUUCGAAUCCCGGUAUCCUCA
rnacentral:tRNA from 1 species